rnacentral:rRNA from 1 species
GGACUACCAGGGUAUCUAAUCCCGUUCGCUCCCCUAGCUUUCGCCCAUAAGCGUCAGGUACUCCCCAGGACACUGCCUUCGCCUUUGGUAUUCCUCCGGAUCUCUACGCAUUUCACCACUCCACCCGGAAUUCUGUGUCCCUCUGAAGUCCUCCAGUGCCGCCGUCUUCGAGGCCCUCUCCCAGUUGAGCCAGGACUUGUCACCCCGAACUGACGACACCGCCUGCGGGCCCUUUACGCCCAAUAAAUCCGGACAACGCUCGCCCCCUACGUAUUACCGCGGCGGCUGGCAC